CGUGGGGGAGGAGGUUCGUGGAUGUAAACCCCUUUUGAUUGGGAAGAUGAUGACGGUCCCAAUCGAAUCAUCAUCGGCUAACUCCGUGCCAGCAGCCGCGGUAAUACUGAGGAUGCAAGCGUUAUCCGGAAUUAUUGGGGGUAAAGCGUCCGUAGGUGGCAUUACAAGUCAGUUGUUAAAGCGCGAGGCUUAACCUCGUAAGGGCGAUUGAAACUGUGAAGCUAGAGUUUGGUAGGGGUCAGGGGAAUUCCCAGUGUAGCGGUGAAAUGCGUAGAUAUUGGGAAGAACACCGGUGGCGAAAGCGCCUUGCUGGGCCAGUACUGACACUGAGGGACGAAAGCUAGGGGAGCGAAAGGGAUUAGAUACCCCUGUAGUCCUAGCUGUAAACGAUGGG
rnacentral:rRNA from 1 species